rnacentral:lncRNA from 1 species
AGUUUUAGGUAGACAGGAGGAAUAAGUUUUUGAGCUCUAUUGCACAGCAUGGUGCUAAAGUUAAUAAUAAUGUAUUGCAUAUUUCAAAAUUGCUAAGACAGUAAAUUUCAAAUGUUCUCACCAUUAAAAAUAAGGAUGUGAUGUGAUGGAGAUAUUACAGCCCAUAUGUUCCUGUCUAUAAGUAAAGCAUAGACUUUGGCAACAGUCUGAUAAAUUUACCUCA